GUUAAAGCAGUCUCUUUUUUUAAAUUAGUUAUUACCUGUCUUGAUCUGGCUGAAGGUGGAACUACCCAUAAGUGAUGCUGCCAUUAUUAGCCAGGAAAGAGAGGUUAAUGUUGACUGUGAACCGUACUGUCAAGAAGGCGUUCUAUCAUUUUCUUCCAAGAUGUAGGAUGAUACUCAUUUAAUUUGAUGCCUAUGGUCAGAACUUUCCAGAGGUGCUUCAUUUAGAACGGUCUUUGUUUUGUCUUUUUGUAUCAUCACAUGUCCAGUAACACACAAACAUAGUUAGCACAAACUGGUAGUAAAAUGUAAAAGGGAUAUAAG